ACUUAGAGCAUAACUGGUCCAAAGACUGUGGUAAGACGCCACCUGAGCUCAGCGAACAAACCACCCGCGUUUGCUCAGUGGUUUCUGCUUUCUUGGUUGGCUCCACUUACUCGGGUUUUUGUUAAGUAAAGCUUUGUCUGUUUUGAUAGGAGCUAUGUGUUACCCUUCUGCACCGGAGACUUAUUCCAGUGGGGGUGGGGUAAAGUGCCCAGGAAGUGGGGAGUUGCUCACACUGAGGGGGAUUUAGCUCCUUCCUGAGCUGUGCUUCCAGAUCUCCUUUGGCUGAGUGUAUACAAAGUUGACUCUUGAUUCAAGAAGAAAACAGGAUAAGAAAAAGAAGAAAGGAGAAGUGAUCUCUAUCCAAAGUGCUUUAUGAGGACUGGAAGAGAAAAGACAGCAGGAGAGAAGAUGUUCCUUCC
rnacentral:lncRNA from 1 species